CAAAAUUAGUUGGUUAUAAAUUAUAAAUUAAUCAGUAAUACAACAUUAUGAUAUAUCUAACACCUUUCUCAUUAUUUAUAUUCAAUGCAAACUAUUCAUGUUCAGUAGGUCUUUCGUAAUAGCUAAAUUAUUUCUAGAUAAAUGAUAAACGCAUAUCAUUGAAGAGUACUGCUGAGGUCAGAAAUUCUCAAAAUGUAUGGGGCUUGUAUAGUGCAUUUUUGUAAUAAGUAUUUUUUAAUUUCUAUAAAGAUUUAACGCACUUCGUUCACGUUGCUGUGCCAGAUUGUUAAAGAUCUCAGAUCUAUCUUAGAUCUGAAUUAAUUUAGUCGAACGUUCUCACGAUUUAAAUAUAAUAAAAAAAAUUGAUAAAUUAUUGUUUGACUUAAUAUUGUACGAAAACAAAAUGGACAGUCAACGUAUCUGAUGUUUGGGUACUGUAAUGUAAGGUUUGGCCUAGGACAUAGAUAGAAUUGUAAGACAGAGUACAAAUCGCCGACAAUGUGUUGAAAUGUUUGGCUUACAAUACAUUAAUCUUGAAAUGUCAACGAAUGUAAUCUGAGUAGGGAAUAUUGAUAUAGACAUUAAAUAUCGACAUUAGCAAUAAUGUAAUAAAAAUAUUCUUUCAUUUAUUCCUCUUUAAACCAUAAUCAAUAGUAUUAGACUUAACAUAUAAC
rnacentral:misc_RNA from 1 species